rnacentral:snRNA from 1 species
AUCGCUUCUCGGCCUUUUGGCUAAGAUCAAGUGCAGAAAAAGGUAAGUUUAUGUUAUUUGGAUUACUGCUUUUCCUACAAAUUCUUUUGAAAUAUAACGUAUUAGUGUAGAAUACUACACUUAUUUCCAGCAAAUGCAAGUUGG